rnacentral:rRNA from 1 species
AACGAACGCUGGCGGCGUGGAUAAGACAUGCAAGUCGAACGGUAUUUUUUUCUGUAGCAAUACAGGAAAAAGUCUAGUGGCGAACGGGUGCGUAACACGUGAGCAACCUGCCGUGAAGUGGGGGAUAGCUCGCCGAAAGGCGAAUUAAUACCGCAUGUGGCCAAGGAAGACAUCUUCCUGACGCCAAAGCCGGGGCAACCUGGCGCUUCUCGAGGGGCUCGCGGCCUAUCAGCUUGUUGGUGAGGUAACGGCCCACCAAGGCUAUGACGGGUAGCUGGUCUGAGAGGACGACCAGCCACACUGGAACUGAGACACGGUCCAGACACCUACGGGUGGCAGCAGUCGAGAAUUUUUCACAAUGGGGGAAACCCUGAUGGAGCGACGCCGCGUGGAGGAUGAAGGUUUUCGGAUUGUAAACUCCUGUCAUUAGAGAACAAGGCACACGGUUUAACUGGCCGUGUGUUGAUAGUAUCUGAAGAGGAAGAGACGGCUAACUCUGUGCCAGCCGCCGCCGUAA